rnacentral:rRNA from 1 species
GACGAACGCUGGCGGCGUGCUUAACACAUGCAAGUCGAACGGAAAGGCCCUGCUUUUGUGGGGUGCUCGAGUGGCGAACGGGUGAGUAACACGUGAGUAACCUGCCCUUGACUUUGGGAUAACUUCAGGAAACUGGGGCUAAUACCGGAUAGGAGCUCUUGCUGCAUGGUGGGGGUUGGAAAGUUUCGGCGGUUGGGGAUGGACUCGCGGCUUAUCAGCUUGUUGGUGGGGUAGUGGCUUACCACGGCUUUGAGGGGUAGCCGGCCUGAGAGGGUGACCGGCCACAUUGGGACUGAGAUACGGCCCAGACUCCUACGGGAGGCAGCAGUGGGGAAUAUUGCACAAUGGGCGGAAGCCUGAUGCAGCAACGCCGCGUGCGGGAUGACGGCCUUCGGGUUGUAAACCGCUUUCGCCUGUGACGAAGCGUGAGUGACGGUAAUGGGUAAAGAAGCACCGGCUAACUACGUG